AUGCACAUCCUACUGAGAAUGAGGGGAGGGGGGGAUGCGGAGGGGGAGCGGGGAGGAAGAGGGGCGGCGGUGCGCGGAGAAGGGAGGAAGAUGAGGAGGAGGAGGAAGAGGAAGAGGAAGGCGCGUUCCCAACGGCGGCUCCUGCCCGCGCGGCUCGGCGGCGACACAGACACCGGGGCGGGCGGGCAGGCGGCGCGGCUUAAAGGGCGCCGGCAGCUGCGCAGCCUCCGCCGCUCCGCCCCCUGCCCGCCGCUGGCGCCGCCUCCGCCGCUGCCCCGCACACGCCCGCCCGGGGUCCGCUGCCUCCCUCCUCCUCCUCCUCCUCCUCCUCCUGCGGCCCCCAGCGGGGCGGAGGGACGAGGGGGGCGAUGGCGAAGCCCCCCGAGCCGCGCCUCCUUCCACCACCACCCCCCUCCUGCGGUGGCUCCGGGCUUGCGCCCGCCUUCCUGCUUGCUGGUGCUGCAGGGAGUGGAAAUUUCCACUGCGACCGCCCCUCGCUCCCCCCCUCGGCACCCGGCGGGGCCUCGCAGCCCACGGCGGGGAGGCUGCGGCCACGGCCCCACGCUCACGGGUGGGGGGCACGGCGAGGGGGGCCCGCGGGUGGGUGCCCCAGGUGCCCUUCCAGAAGCUUCUGAGGGCGGCGGCGUGGCCGCCCUGCUCCCUCACGGGAAGCUGCCUGCCCUUGAGUGGAGGCGUCCUCGUGCCCACAGAGUUGGGGUCACUCCCAGUGAAUGUUUUCUUUUUUAUUUUUUUGUCUCAGUGCAGCACGUGGUUGUGUGUAGGUGCCUGAGGGACACCUAGGCUGAGGUACAGUGGCGAGGCGACCCCAAUGGAGGGUCACUACACUCCAGCUUCCAGCCCUGACCGUGUGCUGCCAGUCCACAAACACCCACGGCCCCAGAAGAGGCACAUUGGAAGAGCCUCACGGCAUGGUCAGGCUGGUUUCAGAAAGAUUUCUGUUCUCCACAGCAUAGAAACGUGCCUUGAGGGUACCACCUAAUCCCACGCACACGCUUAAGAGCAUCCCAAAAACACAACACAGAACUAGCUUUAAAGAGAGAUCUCGUGCUGAGUUUCUGCCCUGGGUUUUGAAGCCCUCUUGGCCUGGCCCUGCCUAUGUUCACAAGGUGGCACAUCGCUCCUCUCCUCACCAGCCAUGGCUCCACCUGAUGAGGAUGCAGGGAAGAAGGCAGAUCUCCAGACUAAACAACUUUAAUGAAAUAAUAUCCCGGCACCCCAGCUUCUUGCUGUAUACCCGUGUCCCCUUGUACACCAAGCCCACAUUCUCUCCAAAAUAUGCUGGAAAUCCCACGCCCCCUGCUCUUUUCUUCAGCAGUGCCUAACCUCUUACUCAUCAUUUAUGUACAUCUUUAACCUCCUUGUAAAACAGAAGGGGAAUUCAUACCUCACUCUGAAUUGACGUGUACUUUCACCAACUCAGACUACCUGCCUGCAGCCCCACCCCAGUCAGAGAGGCCUCAGCUGCCCAUCCCUGCCCGUCUCUACCCAAAAUAAAUAAAUAAAUAAAUAAAUAACCA
rnacentral:lncRNA from 1 species